rnacentral:rRNA from 1 species
GACGAACGCUGGCGGCGCGCUUAACACAUGCAAGUCGAACGGAAAGGCCUGCUUUCCCUUGUGGAUUGCGGGUACUCGAGUGGCGAACGGGUGAGUAACACGUGAGUGAUCUGCCCCCAACUUGGGUAUAAGCCUGGGAAACUGGGUCUAAUUCCCGAUAGGACUGCAGGGUGGUGCCUGUGGUGGAAAACGAUUUUCUAGUGGUUGGGGAUGAGUUCGCGGCCUAUCAGCUUGUUGGUGGGGUAAUGGCCUACCAAGGCGGCGACGGGUAGCCGGCCUGAGAGGGUGGACGGCCACAUUGGGACUGAGAUACGGCCCAGACUCCUACGGGAGGCAGCAGUGGGGAAUAUUGCACAAUGGGCGGAAGCCUGAUGCAGCGACGCCGCGUGGGGGAUGACGGCCUUCGGGUUGUAAACUCCUUUCGACCGCGAGGAAGCCACCUGGUUGGAAGGGUGGUGACGGUAGUGGUAGAAGAAGCACCGGCUAACUACGUG